rnacentral:misc_RNA from 1 species
AAUUCUCAAAACCUAUUGUUCUUCUUGAAUUGGUAGGCUUUGGAUGUGAGGGCUUUGCUGGCCUUUGACAGGUUCAGCUCCCUUCAAAUGCAUUAGUGGUUGCUGAAGUGGAAUUGCUUGCUUAUCCGCUUCUAACUGUCUUUUUGGACAACUCUUGACC